GACCUUGGGAUUUUGAACUAAAAAGGCAGUGGCUUAAUGGGCCAUCCUAGCAGGGGCUUGGAAGACAGAAGUGAUGAGAGCUUUGGAUUGCCAUGACCCUUGACCCAGGUUGUCUGGAAGUUGGGGUGAGGUGUUGAGAGGAUACAUAGCUGGGAAAGCCAAAUGAGGCAUUGAGAAACUCAUCCUGGACCUCCGGAAGGGCUCUGGAAUUUGUCAACUUCUGCUUUGGAUUAAUCACCAAGAACUGAUCACCUCCCCGCCCCCCUCCCUGCCAUGCAGAUUGCUGCUGCUGGAAGGCCUGCCAGUCUCCUGGGCAACCUCAGCUUUCCCAGAUACCUGCCUGGGAGAGUUUGGGAAAAGAGGAGACCUUGGAGUCCGUGAAAGAAGAGGUUCUCACAGAACACAAGACAGAAACAUCAUAACUGCCACCGUCAAGGCAUCAAAGGCUUUUGCACACAAGAUCCAGUCAAAAUUAGACCCAUCUUUGGGUUCCUCAAGCUUUAGUUCAACUGAACCCCCCAAUCAGUUGAACUGUGCUAGCCCCAAUCUGCUUAGGCCAGGAGUAAGCUCUCCCUCCCGACCACUUUUAGGCAAUGGGGAUUAGACACAGGAUCUUCCAUAUGCCUUAAGCUAUAUAAACAUUCUACCACUCUGAUGGGGGAAGUCCUUCUGUGUAUAUGUUUCUCUUAUUGGUUGAUAAAUAAAGCACUGUUGGCCAAUAGGGAAGCAAGAUAGGCAGGACUAGGAGAGAAGGAGGAUUCUGGGAAAUGUAGUAAAGAAGGAGUUGCGAUGUGAUCCCAGGAAGAGAGGACGCAAGGCUGGCAUCCUCGAUAAGUCUUUAUAAAAUAUAUAAACUAGUAGUUAUGGUUGAUAAUUAAGACUGAGUUAGCAAAUAAGAAAUCCUAGUCAUUGGCCAGCAGUAUUGUAACUAAUAUAAGACUCUGUGUGUUAUUUGGGGGCCCUGACAUGGCAGUGGAACUCAGGCAACUGGUGGAAAGAGUUAUAGUUACACCACCCAGCCACAUUCCCAAUUCUUUUACACUUUAUUUAUUUAUUUUCAUAAGGUCUAUAGCCUUAAACUUUUCAUGUUCCUAAUUCUACCUCCCAUUUGCUGGAAUUAUGCAGAGACUGGACAACAAAUGAUACGCCUAUGUCUCUCAGGACUUGACAAUUAGCCCAAAUUUUUCUUGUCAGGAUCCCCUAAAGAUGCUGUCACCCCAAGGCAGUAGGAAGUAAAUUUAAUAUAUGAUGCCCACAUUCCCAAGAGGUGGGGUGGGUGGUAUUUGGUUGUUCAGUGGGUUAUCAAUAAUUGUUAUCUGUUAGGUCUUGGUUAUAAGUUGUAAUAGGGUUGGAGUGGAACAAUGAAGUUUAGACUUAGGAAUCUCUUUUGGAAAAGAAAAAAGGGACUAGAUAAGAUAGGAUAAUAAGAUAAACUAUUAUACCUACUUGUAAAUUAAUUCAG
rnacentral:lncRNA from 1 species